rnacentral:snRNA from 1 species
AUCGCUUCUCGGCCUUUUGGCUCAGAUCAAGUGUAGUAUCUGUUCUUAUCAGUUUAAUAUCUGAUACGUUCCCCAUCGGGGGACUACAUAUUAAAUGGAUUUUUCGAACAGGGAGUCGGAAAUGGGGCUUGCUCCGUCCGCUCCACGCAUCGACCCGGUAUUGCAGUACCUCCGGGAAUGGUGCAACACUU